GAUGAACGCUGGCGGCGUGCCUAAUACAUGCAAGUCGAGCGAACAGAUGAGGAGCUUGCUCCUCUGACGUUAGCGGCGGACGGGUGAGUAACACGUGGAUAACCUACCUAUAAGACUGGGAUAACUUCGGGAAACCGGAGCUAAUACCGGAUAAUAUAUUGAACCGCAUGGUUCAAUAGUGAAAGACGGUUUUGCUGUCACUUAUAGAUGGAUCCGCGCCGCAUUAGCUAGUUGGUAAGGUAACGGCUUACCAAGGCGACGAUGCGUAGCCGACCUGAGAGGGUGAUCGGCCACACUGGAACUGAGACACGGUCCAGACUCCUACGGGAGGCAGCAGUAGGGAAUCUUCCGCACUGGGCGAAAGCCUGACGAAGCAACGCCGCGUGAGUGAUGAAGGUCUUCGGAUCGUAAAACUCUGUUAUUAGGGAAGAACAAAUGUGUAAGUAACUAUGCACGUCUUGACGGUACCUAAUCAGAAAGCCACGGCUAACUACGUG
rnacentral:rRNA from 1 species